rnacentral:rRNA from 1 species
CCUACGGGAGGCUGCAGUGGGGAAUAUUGGACAAUGGGGGGAACCCUGAUCCAGCCAUGCCGCGUGUGUGAAGAAGGCCCUCGGGUUGUAAAGCACUUUCAGUGAGGAAGAACGCCUGGUGGUUAAUACCCAUCAGGAAAGACAUCACUCACAGAAGAAGCACCGGCUAACUCCGUGCCAGCAGCCGCGGUAAUACGGAGGGUGCGAGCGUUAAUCGGAAUUACUGGGCGUAAAGCGCGCGUAGGUGGCUUGAUAAGCCGGUUGUGAAAGCCCCGGGCUCAACCUGGGAACGGCAUCCGGAACUGUCAAGCUAGAGUGCAGGAGAGGAAGGUAGAAUUCCCGGUGUAGCGGUGAAAUGCGUAGAGAUCGGGAGGAAUACCAGUGGCGAAGGCGGCCUUCUGGACUGACACUGACACUGAGGUGCGAAAGCGUGGGUAGCAAACAGGAUUAGAUACCCUGGUAGUC